UGGGCGAAAGCCUGAUCCAGCCAUGCCGCGUGUGUGAAGAAGGUCUUCGGAUUGUAAAGCACUUUAAGUUGGGAGGAAGGGCAGUAAAUUAAUACUUUGCUGUUUUGACGUUACCGACAGAAUAAGCACCGGCUAACUCUGUGCCAGCAGCCGGGGUAAUACAGAGGGUGCAAGCGUUAAUCGGAAUUACUGGGCGUAAAGCGCGCGUAGGUGGUUCGUUAAGUUGGAUGUGAAAUCCCCGGGCUCAACCUGGGAACUGCAUUCAAAACUGUCGAGCUAGAGUAUGGUAGAGGGUGGUGGAAUUUCCUGUGUAGCGGUGAAAUGCGUAGAUAUAGGAAGGAACACCAGUGGCGAAGGCGACCACCUGGACUGAUACUGACACUGAGGUGCGAAAGGGGGGGGAGCAAACAGGAUUAGAUACCCUGGUAGUCCACGCCGUAAACGAUGUCAACUAGCCGUUGGGAGCCUUGAGCUCUUAGUGGCGCAGCUAACGCAUUAAGUUGACCGCCUGGGGAGUACGGCCGCAAGGUUAAAACUCAAAUGAAUUGACGGGGGCUCCGCACAAGCGGUGGAGCAUGUGGUUUAAUUCGAAGCAACGCGAAGAAACCUUACCAGGCCUUGACAUCCAAUGAACUUUCCAGAAGAUGGGAUUGGGUGCCUUCGGGAACGUUGAGACCCCCCCCCGCAUGGGCUGUCGUCAGCUCGUGUCGUGAGAUGUUGGGUUAAGUCCCGUAACGAGCGCAACCCUUGUCCUUAGUUACCAGCACGUAAUGGUGGGCACUCUAAGGAGACUGCCGGUGACAAACCGGAGGAAGGUGGGGAUGACGUCAAGUCAUCAUGGCCCUUACGGCCUGGGCUACACACGUGCUACAAUGGUCGGUACAGAGGGUCGCCAACCCCCCAGGUGGAGCUAAUCCCAGAAAACCGAUCGUAGUCCGGAUCGCAGUCUGCAACUCGACUGCGUGAAGUCGGAAUCGCUAGUAAUCGCGAAUCAGAAUGUCGCGGUGAAUACGUUCCCGGGCCUUGUACACACCGCC
rnacentral:rRNA from 1 species